ACUGGAGAGGGAACUUGGGACCCCAGACGAUGGCCUGGAGGAUGGACACUCCAGCGACUGGUGACCUGACGACUCGGAGACCCAGGAGUGCAGCUGGUUCUGGCCAGUGGGAGGACAAUGCCAACCAAAUGCAAGGUCACGCGUCUAGGAUGAAUGGUCAUACUUACAAGAUGGGAGACCCUAUCCUGGAACGCAGUGACACAGAAGAGGAUUUACACUGAAAAGUCUGACAGAGGGAGAAGGAUCAGAUGUGAGGUUACUAAUCCAACAACUCACUCCCGUAUAGAGAGAGCCUUUGAAUUGAAACUCAGAGAUUUAAAGAUUUCUCAACUAGCUGUGAAUGAAUACCUACUCUGACGGUAAAUCAGAACCACACAAAGCCAUCAACAAGAAUACAGAUCUACAUCUACAUUUCCUGGUUUAAGGGGAAAUAUCUCACCGACGAAGGAAUAGAAAAUGCUGAGUCUGAGGUGGUUUUAUUUUCUCUGUGACGUUUAAAGCUAAAGAACAAAAUAAAGAAUGCAAGGUCAGAUGUGAGGCUGAUACUGAAGAUGGACCACUAGAAGAAACAUACAUUUUAAAACUUGGAUAAUCUCCAUACAGUGAAGAAGGUGGACAUCAAACAGCAACUCUAUCCCUGACUUUCUAGGGUUCAAUGAACAGUUACUCUGUUCCUUUUAAACUUCUAACCAGAAUGACAGUUAUAAUGAGACAGCAUACACGUGCCAUGGAUGGGAGAACUGGUUCAGAUAUAAUUAAAAAUGAUCUGAACCUCUGCCCAAAAUCCAGACCCAGAAAGAGAGGAAGUUGGGAAAGAAAUUUGAUACACUGGUGGAGGGUGGCAGCAGAAAUCUCAAGUUCAUAUCUCAGCUGGGAUCCAGGAAUGUACCAUUUGUUGGACCUCCAUGGUCCUCAUCCUGACAGAUGUCUCAAAUAAAGCUGGUUGGAAUUCCUCUCUCUCCCUCCCUGCCCCCCUUUGCUGGAAAAUGUUGACCAAAAAAACUUCUAUCUUGUUUUUGUCAAAAAGCUAAAAUAUUUGGCCAAAAUCCAGAAUUGAAAUACUUUGGGAUUUGGCCAAAUAUUUCAGUUCUGAAAUGCUGCUAGAGUGCUUUAUGGGAGCUGCAGUUUGGGUGCUUCAUGCCCCCAUUCUCCUCUAUAGGCAAGGCUCACUGGUUGGACUACACAGGGGAAGGGAGGCAGUGCACCAUCGUACUCUCAUGGCAGCAGCGUAUAAUGCGAAUUGAAGUAUGGCUGGAGAAUCUGACCCAGAAUGAAAAAUGGGAACACAGAGCACCUGAGCUACAACUCCCAAGUGCCAUCAAGAUGGCAUUUCAGAAUAUAAGUAUUUUGGUUUUUUGCUAUUAUAUUUCAGUUUUCAGAUGUUCUUUUGACAAUAUAUUUAUAAAUAAAUAAAACCUAAGUUUCUGCACAGAAAGCAGACACUUUUUGUGAAAAAUGUUUUGCAAACGCAGUUGUCCAUUUAAAAAAGAGUUUCAACACAAACUCUUUGACUAGCCCUAGUCCUGACUGACCAAGAAGAGCACACCAGCUAAUACCACUAUCUGCAUUAGGUUCAGCUGCAUCCAGAUUGAUGGCUGGAGUUACUAUUAUCCUUCCCAGUCACCCUGUUGUGUCAUUUUUCCUUAUUUUGUCUCUUUCCUUUCUCUUUUUUUGCC